rnacentral:rRNA from 1 species
CCUACGGGCGGCUGCAGUGGGGAAUAUUGCACAAUGGGCGCAAGCCUGAUGCAGCCAUGCCGCGUGUGUGAAGAAGGCCUUCGGGUUGUAAAGCACUUUCAGCGGGGAGGAAGGCGGUGAGGUUAAUAACCUCAUCGAUUGACGUUACCCGCAGAAGAAGCACCGGCUAACUCCGUGCCAGCAGCCGCGGUAAUACGGAGGGUGCAAGCGUUAAUCGGAAUUACUGGGCGUAAAACGCACGCGGGCGGUCUGUCAAGUCGGAUGUGAAAUCCCCGGGCUCAACCUGGGAACUGCAUUCGAAACUGGCAGGCUAGAGUCUUGUAGAGGGGGGUAGAAUUCCAGGUGUAGCGGUGAAAUGCGUAGAGAUCUGGAGGAAUACCGGUGGCGAAGGCGGCCCCCUGGACAAAGACUGACGCUCAGGUGCGAAAGCGUGGGGAGCAAACAGGAUUAGAUACCCUAGUAGUC